rnacentral:snRNA from 1 species
AUGUAUAUGGUGGCCUGCACACUAAACUUGAGAUGGUACUAAGAAGAUUACCACAGCCCCCUGCACAAGAAUGACAUACAAAUUUGUGGACUUUUACCUAUUUUU